rnacentral:rRNA from 1 species
AUUAAACGCUGGCGGCAGGCCUAACACAUGCAAGUCGAGCGGAUGAAGGGAGCUUGCUCCUGGAUUCCGCGGCGGACGGGUGAGUAAUGCCUAGGAAUCUGCCUGGCCUUGGGGAUUACGGUCAGUUACGGGCGCCAAAUCCACCACCGGCCAGUAGGGGGAAGUGGGGGGUUCUUGGGUCUCAAGGUUUUUGGCUGUCCCUUGGUCGGUUUACCUAGUUGGUGGGGUAAAGGCCUACCAAGGCGACGAUCCGUAACUGGUCUGAGAGGAUGAUCAGUCACACUGGAACUGAGACACGGUCCAGACUCCUACGGGAGGCAGCAGUGGGAAAUAUUGGACAAUGGGCGAAAGCCUGAUCCAGCCAUGCCGCGUGUGUGAAGAAGGUCUUCGGAUUGUAAAGCACUUUAAGUUGGGAGGAAGGGCAGUAAGUUAAUACCUUGCUGUUUUGACGUUACCAACAGAAUAAGCACCGGCUAACUUCGUG